CCUACGGGAGGCAGCAGUGAGGAAUAUUUGUCAAUGGGCUUACGCCUGAACCAGCCAAGUCGCGUGAGGGAAGACUGCCCUAUGGGUUGUAAACCUCUUUUGUCAGGGAGCAAUUGGCGCUACGUGUAGCGUUAUCGAGAGUACCUGAAGAAAAAGAAUCGGCUAACCCCGUGCCAGCAGCCGCGGUAAUACGGAGGAUGCGAGCGUUAUCCGGAUUGAUUGGGUUUAAAGGGUGCGUAGGCGGAAUGCCAAGUCAGCGGUAAAAUCGCGGGGCUCAACCUCGCUCCGCCGUUGAAACUGGCGUUCUUGAGUGGGCGAGAAGUAUGCGGAAUGCGUGGUGUAGCGGUGAAAUGCAUAGAUAUCACGCAGAACUCCGAUUGCGAAGGCAGCAUACCGGCGCCCAACUGACGCUGAAGCACGAAAGCGUGGGUAUCGAACAGGAUUAGAUACCCUUGUAGUC
rnacentral:rRNA from 1 species